rnacentral:rRNA from 1 species
AACGCGAAGAACCUUACCAAGGUUUGACAUGGCCGGAAAAAGCAUCAGAGAUGGUGUGUCCUUCGGGGUCGGUCACAGGUGGUGCAUGGCUGUCGUCAGCUCGUGUCGUGAGAUGUUGGGUUAAGUCCCGCAACGAGCGCAACCCUCGUCCUAUGUUGCCAGCGGGUAAUGCCGGGGACUCAUGGGAGACUGCCGGGGUCAACUCGGAGGAAGGUGGGGAUGACGUCAAGUCAUCAUGCCCCUUAUGUCUUGGGCUGCAAACAUGCUACAAUGGCCGGUACAGAGGGCUGCGAACUCGCGAGAGUAAGCGAAUCCCGGAAAAGCCGGCCUCAGUUCGGAUUGGAGUCUGCAACCCGACUCCAUGAAGCUGGAAUCGCUAGUAAUCGCGGAUCAGAACGCCGCGGUGAAUACGUUCCCGGGCCUUGUACACACCGCAUAC